UACGAAGGGGGCUAGCGUUGCUCGGAAUCACUGGGCGUAAAGCGCAUGUAGGCGGCUUUUUAAGUCAGGGGUGAAAUCCUGGAGCUCAAACUCCAGAACUGCCUUCGAUACUGGCGAUCUCGAGUUCGGGAGAGGUGAGUGGAACUGCGAGUGUAGAGGUGAAAUUCGUAGAUAUUCGCAAGAACACCAGUGGCGAAGGCGGCUCACUG
rnacentral:rRNA from 1 species